ensembl:lncRNA
GAAGGGGUGGGGGGCGUGAUCUUACACAGCCUCGUAGUCCCCUGGAAGGCCCUGGCUUUACUCUUGGCGAGAUGUGACACCCCUGAGGGUUGCGGGCUGAGGAGUGAUAUGAUGAGACUCGGUUUUAAAAGAACCACCCUGGCCACUGUGUUGAGAAGAACCUCAGGGCAAGGAUAGAGCCUGCAGAUGCACCUUCUACCCUUUCCUACUCAUGGAAGGCUGAACUCUAUGGACAUUUGGUUCCAAGUUUCUACUCCCUUGGGCUUCCCAGAUUACUCGAGUGGUGAAGAACCUGACUGCCAAUGCAGGAGACAUGAAAGACGAUUCAACUCUGCCCAGUGGCAAAAGUGACCAGUGGACUCAAAAUAGUAAAAUAAUGCUUAAAGUAGUGCUACCACAGGGCCUUGGGAACCAACCUCACAUGCUAAAGAUAGACGAAGAUUUGCAUUGAGGUAUAAACCCUGAUUGUAUUCAAUGCUUUUAACUUUGAACCCUUCAGGCUUUACCCUUUGCUGUAACCAACUAGACAACUGAAUGAUACCCAG